GCCAUGAGCCACCUUUAGCACGUGCAUGCUGUCAUUAAAAAAUAAAAAAGCUGUAAUGUAUUCAUCUUUCAGGGUGUGGACGGCAUCUGUGCACCUGGAUGGAUCCUGGCACCGGGUUCGCUGUUGGAGCUGCAGAAAUUUGAACUGAGAUUGAAGAGGCUGCUGGGCCAAAGGCGCAACCGACAAACUCGGAGGACAUGCGGAAGGGACGCCAACCUGCAUUUGGACACAUAUAGAGCGCUGCGGUGUGCUUGAAAAGCUCAUGUGAUGUCACGUUGCACCACAAGGUGGAGAGUAGACAAUCACGAAGCAAAGAAAAACGUGGACAAGCAUGUUGAGCUGAGAGCAAAGAGACGUCCGCCAGUUACACGUCGAGUCAAUUUAUUGCGCAGAGAAAGAUGUUUUUGGCAUGGAACCGACCAGUGAGAGAGACGUUGCUGGGUUUUUCGUGUAUAAAAAAAAAAGUUGUCAUAAUGGUGUAUUGAAAGAGUGUAAUUGUCUUCCACUUUUCAGGCUGGACCCAAAGUUUGGCUUCAGCACCUGAAUUGAAAUGUGACUCGUUACCAGCAGAUGGCUCAUCUCUUCACCUCAUGGCACUCCGGUGGUUCCACCUGGAUGACAAAGCACAGUGCUAACUGGAGACUGCAACCUUUUGCUGCAACAGUUGGUCGAGCGUGAUCAACGCCAACAGGCCAAGCUGCGACUGGUCCAAUGACAAACA